GUCUUUUUGAUUAAUAAUUUAAAGUCUAAUCUGCCCACUGAUAAUAUAUUAAAGGGCUGCAGUAUUUUGACUGUACAAAGGUAGCAUAAUCAAUAGUCUCUUAAUUGGUGACUUGUAUGAAAGAUUUAAUGAGAUAUAUACUGUCUCUUUUUAAUUUAUAAAAUUUAAUUUUUUAGUUAAAAAGCUAAAAUAUAUUUAAAAGACGAGAAGACCCUAUAGAGUUUGAUAUUUAAUUAAAUUAAAAUUAUUUAUAAAAUUUAAAAUUUUAAUUUAUAUUAAAUAUUUUGUUGGGGUGAUAAAAAAAUUAAAAGAACUUUUUUUAUAAUUUUACAUUAAUAAGUGAAUAAAUGAUCCGUAAUUUACGAUUAAAAGAAUAAAUUACCUUAGGGAUAACAGCGUAAUUUUUUUUUUUAGUUCAAAUAAGAAAAAAAGUUUGCGACCUCGAUGUUGGAUUAAGAUAAAAUUUAAAUGCAAAAGUUUAAAAUUUUUGAUCUGUUCGAUCAUUAAAAUCUUACA
rnacentral:rRNA from 1 species